GUCUGGAGGACCAGCUGGCUAAAGGGCUGAAGUUGACGUUUGAUUCCUCCUUCUCUCCGAACACUGGCAAGAAGAGCCGAAAGAUCAAGAGCAGCUUCCAGCAUGAGCACAUCAACCUGGGCUGUGACGUGGACUACGACAUCAAUGGCACCGCGGUGCACGGAGCCGUGGUCGUGGGCUUCGAGGGCUGGCUGGCCGGAU